rnacentral:rRNA from 1 species
UGGGGAAUAUUGCACAAUGGGCGCAAGCCUGAUGCAGCGACGCCGCGUGAGGGAUGACGGCCUUCGGGUUGUAAACCUCUUUCACCAGGGACGAAGCGCAAGUGACGGUACCUGGAGAAGAAGCACCGGCCAACUACGUGCCAGCAGCCGCGGUAAUACGUAGGGUGCGAGCGUUGUCCGGAAUUACUGGGCGUAAAGAGCUCGUAGGUGGUUUGUCGCGUUGUUCGUGAAAACUCACAACUCAAUUGUGGGCGUGCGGGCGAUACGGGCAGACUAGAGUACUGCAGGGGAGACUGGAAUUCCUGGUGUAGCGGUGGAAUGCGCAGAUAUCAGGAGGAACACCGGUGGCGAAGGCGGGUCUCUGGGCAGUAACUGACGCUGAGGAGCGAAAGCGUGGGGAGCGAACAGGAUUAGAUACCCUGGUAGUCCACGCCGUAAACGGUGGGUACUAGGUGUGGGUUCCUUCCUUGGGAUCCGUGCCGUAGCUAACGCAUUAAGUACCCCGCCUGGGGAGUACGGCCGCAAGGCUAAAACUCAAAGGAAUUGACGGGGUCAUAGCUG